AUGUUUGGAGUGCGUAAAAAAUUCGAUAAAUAUUUUUAUCAAACAGUAUUUAUUUAAUCCAAAAUGUAUUUAUCCGCAAAUAUUACCGACGACCGUAAAAAAGCUGAACAAAUAAUGUGUAAUAAUGUAUCGGUUGUUGUCAUUUUGUCACUAUAGUAUCAGUUUAAUUUUCUAUAUUUUUAUUUUAGAUUCUGAGUGGGACG